UCGGAAUUACUGGGCGUAAAGACGCAUGCAGGUGGUUUGUUAAGUCAGAUGUGAAAGACCCGGGGCGUCAACCUCGGAAUUGCAUUUGAAACUGGCAAACUAGAGUACUGUAGAGGGGGGUAGGAAUUUCUAGGUGUAGCGGUGAAAUAGCGUAGAGAUCUGAAGGAAUACCGGUGGCGAAGGCGGCCCCCUCGGACAAAGACUGACGCUCAGAUGCGAAAGCGUGGGGAGCAAACAGGAUUAGAUACCCCUGGUAG
rnacentral:rRNA from 1 species